rnacentral:rRNA from 1 species
GGAUGCGAUCAUACCAACACUAAAGCACCGGAUCCCAUCAGAACUCCGAAGUUAAGCGUGCUUGGGCGAGAGUAGUACUAGGAUGGGUGACCUCCUGGGAAGUCCUCGUGUUGCAUUCCC